UACGAAGGGGGCUAGCGUUGCUCGGAAUCACUGGGCGUAAAGCGCACGUAGGCGGCUUCUUAAGUCAGGGGUGAAAUCCUGGAGCUCAACUCCAGAACUGCCUUUGAUACUGGGAGGCUCGAGUCCGGGAGAGGUGAGUGGAAUUGCGAGUGUAGAGGUGAAAUUCGUAGAUAUUCGCAAGAACACCAGUGGCGAAGGCGGCUCACUGGCCCGGAACUGACGCUGAGAUGCGAAAGCGUGGGGAGCAAACAGG
rnacentral:rRNA from 1 species